GACAUAGGUGGCGAACGUUAUCCGGAAUUAUUGGGCGUAAAGGGUGCGUAGCCGGUCUAGUAAGUUAGCAGCGGGAAAUCGAGGCCCAACCUCGUGGAAGUUGUUAAUACUACUAUACUCGAGUGCAGGAGAGGUUAAUGGAACUCAAUGUGGAGCGGUAAAAUGCGUAGAUAUAUUGAAGAACACCAAUAACGGCGAAGGCAGUUAACUAUUCUGUUACUGACGGUGAGGCACGAAAGCGUGGGGAGCAAAAAGG
rnacentral:rRNA from 1 species